rnacentral:lncRNA from 1 species
GUGAACUCCAGGCUGGCAGAUUUGGCAAUGGCAAAUUUUGCCCUUGGACUGGUAGAUUUAGUCUGAGGCCUUGGGCUGCUCAAUCGGAUCUGGUUUUCCCAAGCUGAUAUUUCCAAAAACUUUCAGCCUUUCUUGUUGAAUGGAUUGAAGCAGAGAGGACUCAAUGGCAGCUAUUGAGAAAAUUUCAUUUCAUCAGUUACUGCAAAUUCAAGGGAUAAGGGAGCUCA